rnacentral:rRNA from 2 species
ACGCGCUUCGGCGCACCCAGAAACCCUUUGUGAACUUAUACCUAUUUGUUGCCUCGGCGUAGGCCGGCCUCUUCACUGAGGCCCCCUGGAAACAGGGAGCAGCCCGCCGGCGGCCAACUAAACUCUUGUUUCUAUAGUGAAUCUCUGAGUAAAAACAUAAAUGAAUCAAAACUUUCAACAACGGAUCUCUUGGUUCUGGCAUCGAUGAAGAACGCAGCGAAAUGCGAUAAGUAAUGUGAAUUGCAGAAUUCAGUGAAUCAUCGAAUCUUUGAACGCACAUUGCGCCCUCUGGUAUUCCGGAGGGCAUGCCUGUUCGAGCGUCAUUUCAACCCUCAAGCCUGGCUUGGUGAUGGGGCACUGCCUUCUAACGAGGGCAGGCCCUGAAAUCUAGUGGCGAGCUCGCUAGGACCCCGAGCGUAGUAGUUAUAUCUCGUUCUGGAAGGCCCUGGCGGUGCCCUGCCGUUAAACCCCCAACUUCUGAAAAUUUGACCUCGGAUCAGGUAGGAAUACCCGC